GAAUUGGUGGAAGGCAGAGGGCUGCCCUUUGGGCAGCGUGAAGCUACGGAGAGAAGGGAAGCGUGAAGCUACGGAGAGAAGGGAAGCGUGAAGCUCGCAGACGCAGGAGAGGAGAUAGACACGGGGAGAAGGGAGACUGACGGGCACAGUGAGAAG